UACGAAGGGGGCUAGCGUUGUUCGGAUUUACUGGGCGUAAAGAGCGCGCAGGCGGUCGUUCAAGUCGAGUGUGAAAGCCCCCCGGCUCAACUGGGGAGGGUCACUCGAUACUGAUCGACUUGAAGGCAGGAGAGGGAAGCGGAAUUCCACGUGUAGCGGUGAAAUGCGUAGAGAUGUGGAGGAACACCAGUGGCGAAGGCGGCUUUCUGGUCUGUAACUGACGCUGAGGCGCGAAAGCGUGGGGAGCAAACAGG
rnacentral:rRNA from 1 species